UGCGGGCCACCCAGAAGAACAGGAUGUCAUGACCAGUCUCCAGCAGGCUGCCUGGAUAGAACACACUCAGGUCCUGGGUCUGGACAGAGAGAGGAAAACCUGUAUUACACACUCAGGUCCUGGGUCUGGACAGAGAGAGGAAAACCUGUAUUACACACUCAGGUCCUGGGUCUGGACAGAGAGAGGAAAACCUGUAUUACACACUCAGGUCCUGGGUCUGGACAGAGAGAGGAAAACCUGUAUUACACACUCAGGUCCUGGGUCUGGACAGAGAGAGGAAAACCUGUAUUACACACUCAGGUCCUGGGUCUGGACAGAGAGGAAAACCUGUAUUACACACUCAGGUCCUGGGUCUGGACAGAAAGAGGAAAACCUGUAUUACACACUCAGAUCCUGGGUCUGGACAGAGAGAGGAAAACAUAUAUUACACACUCAGGUCCUGGGUCUGGACAGAAAGAGGAAAACCUGUAUUACACACUCAGGUCCUGGGUCUGGACAGAGAGAGGAAAACCUGUAUUACACACUCAGGUCCUGGGUCUGGACAGAAAGAGGAAAACCUGUAUUACACACUCAGGUCCUGGGUCUGGACAGAGAGAGGAAAACCUGUAUUACACACUCAA